AUGCACAAUGUCCUCUUCUUCCUUCUCUCGACUUCCAGAAACUUUUCUUUGCAUAGGGAGGCAUUUGUGGUCAAUGAGACACCCGUAUUCAUGAAUAAGCCUCCUCCACAUGUAUUUAAACUGAUGUCUCUACCAUCAAUGAUUAUAAAGCUCACUUUGGGUUUGCUCUGGUGCAUCAUCCACUUAGCAAUCAGCCUUUUAAGCUUAUGUUCUCAUCUGAUUUUCAAUCUAGAGUGUUCUCUUAUUUCAUCUGGGUUGUUGUGGAAGUAUCGGAAUCUCCAACUGGGGAGACUCAAAUACCUCGCUAUCGUGGUAGAUAGCAGAGAAGCUAAGAAUACCGUGAAGAUCAAUCAGCUGUUAUAUUGGCUCAAAACUCUUGGUGUGAAGUAUGUGUGUCUCUAUGACAUUGACGGAGUGCUGAAGAAAUUGUUUGCACCUGGUAUGAAUGGCUCAAGAGAUAACAACCCCGGAGAUUAUUUGGAUGCCAGUGCAAAUAUCAAAGCCUUAGAUUGUUGUCAGAAACAGAUGACGAUAGAGUGUAUUUCUGGUUCUGAUGGCAAAGAGGGCAUUGCUAAAGCAGCCAACUUACUUUGCUCCAGUUAUUUAAACGGUGAUAGCUAUACUCAAGAAUAUGUCAAAAGUGAAGAGAAUGUCAAAAGUGAAGAGAAUGUCGAAAAUGAGCCAGUAUUUACAGAAACUGACAUGGCCAGCGCACUGAAAUCCAUAGGUUGUGCUGGACCAGAACCUGAUCUUCUACUUGUGUAUGGUCCUGCCAGAUGCCAUUUAGGCUUUCCUACAUGGAGAUUGCGGUAUACUGAGAUUAUGCAUAUGGGACCUCUGAAAUCAAUGAAAUACGGCGCCAUUGUGAAAGCCUUCCAUAACUACUCAAAGAAACACCAAAACUAUGGUAAAUGA
rnacentral:rRNA from 1 species